ensembl:lncRNA
AUCACUUCCGGUCUGAUUUUGCCAUAACCUAGCAGGCCGCAUAAACAUCCUCAGUGGGCCACAUGUGGCCCACAAGCCGUAAUUUGAGGACCCCUGCUUUUAGCCAAGAACCAGGUGGCUACCACUUCAUAAAAAAACAAAAACAAAACAAAAACAAAAAACAAACAAACAAACAAAAAACGGCUGGAACACACUUUAGAGGGAGGGGAAAAGAGAGGAUUCCAUGUGGCUGCUCUUCCCCUCACUCCACCUCCAAAGAGGAAGGAGGGAAGGGAAGAUGAACUAACCUGCACCCCAGGCUAACUAGAUGCUCCCUACCUGAAGUAGCAGAGAGCACUAGGGAGGAGGGAGGAGAGGAAGAUUCCAUAAAAUCCACAUGUACAGCAGAGCAGGAUUUAAAGCAUAAUUUACAAUGUUAUAGGUAACAAACUCUGAACCAAACUAAAUACAGCUUUAAAUUCCCAAUAAUAUAAAACUGCUUUUCCUAUCAUAUUUCAAAUAAUGAAUUUCACUGUGAUGACCGUGCUAGCACCCAGGACACCCCAGAAUCAGCCGGAGUCAGAAUAAGCAAAAGUCCUUAGUCUUUAUUCUUGGUCUUUAGACGCAGGAUUGAAUAGGAUGGAAGCAGAAUCUCUGAGACUGCCUUCUCCCUUGUCUACCGCCAAAGUGACUCUGGCCAGUCUUACUCCACCCCCAAAUCCCUCCUACAAUCCUCUAUAUACACCAAUCAUUGAGCCAGCACAAGAUAGUGGGAAGGACCAUUUUUCAAGCAUAUGCUCAUAGAGUAUUGUCCAAUCAGCCCUAAGUGCUUGAACUAACCUCAGUGCAACGACUCAAGAGUUUUAGCCCUCUACGUUUCACUAAACAGCAUAGUUUUUCUUUCUCUCCCUCUGGCCCUACAUAGCCAUUAUUCCCAAUGGACUUCUAAAUUCCAAUUUUUGCCAGAGUUGAAGCCUUUAGAAAAAUCAGACCUUUCUUUAUCUAAUUUCAGGCAAGUUAACAGAACUUCACUUUAACAAACUAUUGUUCUUAUUGAUCUUAUCCUUAAAGAUAACUAAAUCUAGCCUGCAUAGGCUACAGUAAAAUUAUUUCCCACAAUUUAAAAACUGCCCAAAAGAAUACUCAGAACAAAUCUGGCAUGCAAAGGCAAUAGUAAAAUUAUUUCCCACAAUUUUGAAAUCAUCCUGAAAUUCCUAAUCAAAUGUAUUCUCCUGUCUGAGUUUCAGUCAGAUAAGGUUUUAUUACCCUUUACUCUAGCAGGCUCUGAAAACCUGCUCCAAGGGAAAAACGUUUGCCUUUUUGUUCCUUUUACUCAGAUUAGUACAAGUUAAAAAGUUUAAAAUCACAAGCAAAUUUUUAUACUACACACAGUUGCAACAUUGAAAUAACCAAUCCCCAAAUUUCUUAAUCAUUGUUUUUAAACUUAACAGCGCUCUUAAAUUAACAAAACAGACAAGUCACACAGAACACAGAACACACAGACAUAGACUGUGCAGUCAAAACAUUUAACACAGAGACCAGGGGCCAUCUGGAAACCUUAGAAUAGCCCUGAGGAAAGUUGUCAGCUUGAGAGUCUUCCCUCCCAGAAUCCAAAUGGAGAUUUUUUUUUUUUCAAGCCCCAGUUUGGUACAUUUCUCUGCCUUCACAGAGAAUGCCCAGAUUAAAACCAGGAUACCAAAAGGUACUCAGAACCAGAUAAUACCCAAAAGUUUGGUACCAGAUAAUUCCAAAAGGUACUCAGAUACCCAAAGUACUCUGGUACUCUGAAAUACCAAAGGGUAUUUCAGAACCAGAUAAUGCCACAUAGCAUCCUACUGGCAUUUUCCAGACUUGUAUGGCUCAUCAGCCCAACUUUUUCUGGGGACCAGAUUUGCUAACAAUCAGAUCAGACAGAAAACUUACCCUGCAGGGAUUUGAAACCAGAUUCUCCCAUGGCCAAAGGGAGGUGUCCCACCGUCAGGCAUCAGGCACAGUUGUGGCUGAAAACUGCUCUUUCCCAGAGGCUCUGGAAAAAAAUCCAGAGGGCCAGACUCUCUAAGCAAAGAACCCAGAUCCCCAGCCACCCUGAGACCCAAGAUGGAUCCCCAAGUGUCUCUAUUCUCUAAUCCUGCUCUCAUUUUUUAAUAUCUCAGUUGAAAGCCUCUAAAAUGUAAUGCCAGAGAAACUCAUGCAGGAUAGAGAUUAGAGAACAAUUUAAUAUUUUAUUUGAAAGGGAGAGAUUUACUGGGUCCAAAUAGAUCCAUGGUUUGGUCACAGGACUGAAUGAGACUAUUGUCUCCAAGAAUCCAGCAGUGAAUGUAGGAUACAAGAUUCUUUUAUAGGGUAAUAAGAAUGAUGACAAAAUGAGGGAAGUAACUGGAUGGGGAUGACCUAAUGUGGGGAAGCAUUUAGGAUGACAUAAUGGAGGGAGGUACUGGAGAGUCUCCUGAUAUUCUAAUGAUGUCUAAGAUACAAGACCUUUAUCCUAUCAAAACAUUAAGAGGGAAUGAUUAUAGCCUGAGGCAGAGUAACUGAGUAGGACAAUUAGGGAAACUGGGUCAGGACAUUAAAAAAGAACUGUGGCAUAAUUCAGUCAUCUUUGUUGUCUCUAUUUGGAGUUCUCUUGGCAAAGAUACUGGAGUGAUUUGCCAUUUCCUUCUCAAGUUUAUUUUACAGAUGAAGAAAUGAAGGGGAAUGGGGCUAAGUAAUUCACCCUGGAUGACAAGCUACUUAUUUUACAGAUGAGGAGACUGAGGCAAACAGGAUGAAAUUCCUUCCCCAGGAUCAUACAAAUAAAAGUGUGUUAAGCCCGCUUUGCAGAUAAGAAAACUGAAGCAAAUGGGUUAGUGACUUGCCCAAGGUCACAUGCCUAGUAAGUUUCUGAAGUCAGAUUUAAAUUCAAGAAGAUGAGUCUUCCUGACUCCAGGUUUGUUACUCUUAACCAUUUUGCCACAUCGUUGCACUUAAAUUUCUUAUCCAGCUAGAAUUUACAAGAGUAUAUGGUAUUAAGAUUCCAAAUUAUUUUUCUGCCAAAUUACCAAAUUUUAAAAUGUACAUUUGUUAGAUAAUGAAUCCUUUUCUCAAUUCUUAUAUUCUAAAAGUGUGUCACAUAUAAAACUCAUAUAUAUUUGGUAUGUCUAGCAUAAUCAUUUCUGUUUCUACCCUGUUUAUUUUUGCCCAUUCGCUGAUACUUUGGAUGGUAACUACUUUGUCAUAUGUUUUAAUUUUCGGGAAAUACAAGAUCCCUUUCAUCAAGUCAAGCCAACAAGAAUUUAUUAAAUGUCAAUUAAAGGCCAGGAAGUAUGUGCUAAGUACUGAUGAUACCAAUAAAGACAAAAAAAAUUUCUGCCUUCAAGAAGCUCACAUUCUAAUAGACCACAUGCAAACAACUGUCUUUGUAUUACAUAUAGAUAAAAGAUGCAAAUAUCCAUAUUAUCUAUAUGUCUCUAGGAUAAAUUGGAGGUAAUCUCAAAGGAAUUGGCAUCAAAAAAUAAUAUUGGGAAAGGCUAUUUUGUAAAAUGUGAGAUUUGAACUGAGAUCUGAAGGAAGUAACAAAUCUAGGAAAUGGAUAAGAAGAGAAAGAUUAUUCCAGGUAUGGAGGACAACCAGCAAAAGCCAUGAAUUUGGAGUAUGGAGAUAGUGUCACAUGCAAGGAACAACAAAGAGUUUAUGACUACUAAUCAUAGAGAGCAUGGAGGAAAAUUAGCUAUUAAGAGAUGUUUUUGUUUUUAGACUGGAUCUAAAUAUAAAGAAGACUGGGAAGCUAGGAAGGAACCAGGUUGUGAAUGGCUUUAAAAGCCAAAUAUAAGGUUUUAUAUUUGAUUCUGGAGAUUUUACCGAAUAAAGUGGUGACAUGGAAAAUCAACAUGACAAAUGAGGAUGGACUGGACUGGGGAGAGACAAAACAAGGAGACUAACCAGUAGGCUAUUGCAUUAGUCUAGGCAUGAGGGAAUGAGGGUUUGUAGCUGGGUUGGCAGCAUCAGGGGUAGGGAGUAUAGGAAAAAAUGUUACAAAGGCAGAAAUGAGCAGACUUAAAUGAUUAGAAAUGGGGAAUGAGAGAGUAAGGAAUGAAGAAUUGCACCUUUGAGUCUGUGUAACUGGGAGGAUUGUGGUGCCCUCAAUUGUCAUAGAAGAGUUAGAAAGAAGGUGGGGAUAGGAAGAUAUUGAGCUCAGUUUUGAAAAUUUUGAGCUUAAGAUGUUUGUAGGAUAUCUCAUUCAAGGUGUACAAUAGGCAAUUACUUGAAGAAACUAAAAGUGGAAGUCAAGAGGGAGGUUAGAAAUAGCUAGAUCUGAGAAUCAUAAUAGAAAAUUGAAUACAUGAAAACUGAUGAGAUAACCAAAUGAAAUAGAUUAGAGGGGGGAAAAGAGACAGAACCCUGUGAGAACGCUAAUGCAGCAUAAUUUGGAUGAGGAUCCAGCAAAGAUCUGAUAAAUACACAGGUAAAGAGAACCAAGAGAGAUUAAUGUUCUGAAAAUCAAGAGGGAAGAGAAUAUAAAGGAGAAGAGGGUUACUAACAGGAUCAAAGAAUACAGGGAUAUCAAGAAGAAUGAGAAUCUGGAAAUCUCCAUUAGAUUUGGCAGUUAGAUCAUUUAGAGAGGGCAGUUUCAGUUGAAUGAUGAGGUUGAAAACUAUACUUCAGACACUUUGGAAGAGAGUGGAAGGAAAGUAGAGACAAAUUAUAGAUGGCUUUCUCAGAUUAUCCAUGAAAGGGAAAGAGAGAGAGAAGAAAAUGGCUAGCAGGAAUUGACAGAUAAAGUAAGGGAUGUUAAAGGACAGAGGGAACAUUGAUGUGUUUGUAGGUAAUAGAGGCAGCCAGCUAGUAGACAGAUUGAAAAUUAAUGAGUAGAGAUAAUAGAUGAGGCAGUAUUCUGGAAAAGAAGUGUAUAGAAUGGGAUCAAGAGUGCAUGUUGUGUUAGUCUUGGCAACGAGAAAAGAACUCAUCAUGUGGGACAGCAGUGAAGGAGAUCAGGGGAAGAUAUCUAUCUGACUGAUAGUAGAUGAUGAAGACAGGAGAAGAGGUAGCUCUUACAGAACAGCUUCAAUUUCUUCAGUGAAGUCUGAAGCAAAGUUCUUUUUUUUUAAUUGGUAGAUCAGGCCUUUAAUCUACAUCUCAUGGCUCUAAUUCAAUCAUUCCCCUGAUAUAUUUCAUUACUGAGAUUUUCCUUACUUGAUCAAAUAGGACACUUUCUGCACCUGUCUCUGGGAGAUAUUAAAGACAAAUUCCAGGAUACAUUCUUUCCAGUAUAAGUUUCAAAAUGAAGCAAAGUUGUUAACUGAGAAGGGUAGAAAUAGGAGUGCCAUGGGAGGUUUGAGAGAGAUGGAAAGAUUUGGAAAAGCUGAUGUGGUUAAGUUGGAUGGUUAAUCAACCAUAUUACAUGGCAAGAUUUUGACCUAAUCAGAUAGAACCAUUUAAAAGAGUAAUCUAUUUUGCACAUUGCAAAAAGACAUCUUUCCUCAAAGAGGAAAAAUAAGCCCUCUAUACCAGGGGUCCUCAAACUAUGGCCCACAGGCCAGAUGCAGCCUCCUGAUGAUGUUUCUGCAGCCCGCCGGGUUAUGGCAAAAUCAGACCAGAAGUGACAUUCAACCUAAACUCACAUUAGCAAUGCACACUUCUGGCACUGGGCUGAGGUGGCGGAGAUAGAGUGUGAGGCAACACUGAGGUGAGGAAAUAAUGAUGUCAAGAAAAAGAAAAAUUGACUCGGAGUGUAGGAUAUUCAAAGAACAGUGGACUUAUGAUUACUUUUUCAUGCAGUACAAGGAAAGAGCUGUAUGUCUGAUAUGCCAGACACUAUAUUCUGUGUUCAAAGAAUAUAAUUUGCAUGGACACUAUGAAACUCAACAUAAAAAUAAAUAUGAUUGUUUGGUUGGAGAAGUGAGAAAAGAUAAAAUAUUAAAACUGAAAAAUACAUUGACAACUCAGCAAAAUACUUUUGUGAAGCAGAAGCAGCUAAAUAUUUCAUCACUGUGAGCAAGUUUUCAAGUUGCCAAGCUAAUAGCCUGUACUGGCAGACCAUUUGUGGAGGGAGAAUUUGUUAAAGAAUGCCUUCUUUCUAUUGCCAAAGAGAUGUGUCCAGAGAAGGCCGAUUUAUUUAGUAUAGUGAGUCUUUCAGGACCUAUAAUUACAUGGAGGAUUGAAGAAAUGGGAGAUAAUCUGCAUCAGCAUUUGCAAAACUCCAUAAAAAAAUUCAUAUUUUUCCUUGGCACUUGACAAAAGCAAUGAUGUUCAUGAUUCUGCACAACUUCUAAUUUUUAUUUGUGGGACAAAUUAUUUUGAAGUCAUAGAAGAGCUUGCUGCACUGCAAAGCAUCAAAGGAAUAACUACAGGAGAAGAUAUCUAUGAAAAGGUUUGCCAAACUAUGAAUGGUUUAGAGCUGGACUGGGCUAAACUAGCCAGCGUGACAACUGAUGGUGCUCCUAGCACGGUGGGGUCUAAGAAAGGAGUAAUUGCUCACAUUACCCAAGAGAUGGACAAACAACCAUUCUCAUCCAGUAGCCAUACACUGCCUCAUCUACCAACAAGCGCUGUGUAGUAAAUCACUGAAGUGGGACUCUGUUGUGAAAAUUGUGGUAUCUUGUGUUAACUUCAUUAGAGCUAAUGCACUAAAUCACAGACAAUUUCAGGAAUUUCUGUCUGAGCUAAAUGUUGAGUAUGAAGAUGUUCUAUAUCACAAAGAAGUCCAUUGCCUGAGUCAAGGGAGAGUUUUGAAACGCUUGUAUGAUUUAGUUCCACAAAUUACAACUUUUCUGCUUUCAAAAAAUAAAGAAGUACCAGAGCCAUGAUGCAGAAUGGAAAUGGCACCUUGCCUUUCUGACAGAUGUAACAGAACUACUCAAUAAUUUCAAUAUCAACUUCAAGAAAAGGGGAAGCUCAUCUGUGAUAUGCAAUCACAUGUCAAAGCAUCUGAAGUAAAAUAAGGCCUCCUCAUCAAACAAGGGAAGGAGGAAAACUUCUGCCAUCUCCCCAGAACUCAAAAUCUGUUAGCAUAAAAACAGCUGAUUGCAUUCCCGAACAAAACAUGUGUGAAUUCACUGGAAAAAUUGCAAAAGGAGUUCCAAUUUAGAUUUAAAAAGCUUCAUCUCCAUGAACAGGACAUACAGCUUUUCUGUAACCAUUUUCUAUUGACAAUGAAAAUGUGGAUACAAUUUACCAAACGGAACUGGCUGAACUGCAGAAUUGUGACUCUCUGAAAGACACAUUCAAGUCAAGCAGCCUUCAUAAUUUCUAUGCAUCUCUCCCCUCUGAGAUAUAUAUCCUCAUUUUAGGAACCAUGCACUCAAAAUGGCAACCAUCUUUGGCAGCACUUAUGUCUGUAAACAGACAUUUUCUAGAAUGAAACAUUUGAAAUCUCCAACCAGAUCAAGACUAACGGAUGCACACUUGUAUCACUUGUUGCGACCAGCAGUGACAAAUAUGGAACCAGACAAUGACAUCUCAUUAGCCAAAAGCAAGCCCAUAGUUCCCAUUGAAAUACUGAAUUAUCAUGCUGCACAAGAAAAAUCAGAUCAAAAAGGAAAAUAAUAAGAAAAAAAGCAAGCAAACAACAAAAAGGUGAAAAUGCUAUGUUGUGAGCCAUAUUCAGUCCCCACAAUCCUCUCUCUGGAUGCAGACAGCUCUCUCCAUUACACGUAUAUUGGAACUGGCCUGAAUCAUCUCAUUGCUGAAGAGAGCCACGUCCAUCAAAAUUGAUCAUCACAUAAUCUUGUUCCUGUGUACAGUGAUCUCCUGGUUCUGCUCACUUCACUUGGCAUCAGUUCACAGAGGGAGGAGAAUAGAAGAGGAUGAUGAGGAGGAGGAAACAGAAUACAAAACUUCCCAGGACCAUUGGCCACAGAGCACCAUCAUCCUAGGACAUCUGGACUAUGGAUCCAAAUGAAAAUGAAGAAGGGGAAACAUCAUGGAAUCACUGAACAUUCUGUACUUACACAUACUUUAAGCAAGUUGAGUGUUUAUAGAAUUUACAAGGACAGUGAUUUUAAUUCAAUCCCCUUCAUUUCAGUUCAGAUUUGUAAAAAACAGAAUUUUCAUUUUCAGAGUAAAAAAGCCUAUCCCUUGGCUCCAGUUGUCCCACCUAUAAAAUGAAAGGACUGGUCCAGAUUAUUUCAAAUGGCACUUCCAACCCACUCUCUAUUAUCUAGGAUGGUUGAUGGUUAAGAAUCAUGUGCUAAUUGGUCAUCUGGAAAGACUGGGUCAUAUGGAAAUCUAAAAAUAUUUGUUUUGUCAUCAGUAUUAGCAGAUGAACAACUGUUUGCCUGUUUGUUUUUUUUUUUUUUUUCCUGCAUGUUUUCCUCCCUUGCCUUUUUUCUUUGCUCCUCAUCUUCCUAAUAAGUAUUCUUUGAAAUUUCUGGGAUCCUUCACUAGAAAAAAAAAUCAUUAUUGUAAAUUCCCGGGACUUCAAUAGUCCUUGUUUAAACCUCUGAUCUCUGUCUUCCCAAAGAUCUUAAAUCUUAACAAGUUUGAGCAAAGAAGAAAGGGAAUGAAUUAAGCACAAAUUUUUUUUUUAAAGGGGAGGUAGGGAAACACACAAAGAGUCUGUCAUCCUCAAAGUUCCAGGUGAAUCAGUCUGGGACAAAACAGGUAUAAAAAUUCUGAACCUGGUCAUCUGAUCCCACACUCCCUGAAUAGAGUCAUUCUAAACAGAAACAAGUCAGGGGAGGGGAGGGUGUCUAAUACUAUACUCUAUUUGGUUGCUUAACCAUGGAGCUCUAGAUGGAGAAGGAAGGCACUGCCACCUACAGGUCUGAAAAGGAACAAGGCAAUAAAUUAUAACAGUGGGGGGUGGGGAGGGGUCCUAUUAACAUAAAAGUGUCAUUGACUUUAAAAAUUCAAAGUUUAUUUAGUUUAUCCUCCUGCCUUCAGGCAUAUCUAUGCCUAAACUAGCCAAAGUCUUGUGCUCAAAUUAUAGAAACUUAAGGCUUUGAACAAAUUGAAUCAAUCAGAUUAGCUAAGAAGGCAAACACUAAAUAUGAAUUAUUUGGGUGGUAGAUGGGUAAGGCUGUAAGGUCAUCUGAUAGCCUUUCCUUGUCCAGUGAAAAUAAUAAGAAUAGAUGACAUUUUUAUAAAAUAUUUCACCCAAAUUAUCUCCUGUAAUCCUAACAACCUAGAAGGUAGGUACUAUACAUUAUUAUUAACCUGGAAUCCAUAAAUGUUGAUCGUCCAUGAACUUGGAACUUUAAAUAUUUUGAUAACUAUAUUUCAACAUAAUUAGUUUCCUUUGAAAUCCUAUAUAUUUCAUUUUAUGCAUAUAAAACAUCAUUUUAAACUAAGCUCUUUAAUAAGUCUCAAGGAAAUCUGAUUCUUAGGGAAAAAAAGUGACUCAGUGAUCAUGGAGAUACUGAGAAUUGGAAGAGGGGUUCAAAUCCUGAUUUCUCCUAAUUCUAAAUCAAGCACUGUUCUCAAUAUAUUAUAUGCCUUUCACAUAGUUUGGGGAUUAGUAAUCCACUGAAGUCCCAUUCUUCACCCCUCAGAAGUGAGUGGCUUAGCAGAAUGACGAAGUUGGUUCUCCACUAGAGAAAAGAAGGCUAACUGUGGCCCUACACACAUUCAAUAAUUCCUGACUACAUAAUAGAAUCAUAUAAGAUGAAGUUAAAAGAGAUGUUUAAGAUCAUCUAGUUCAGGGAUUUUUAACCUGGGUUCCAUAGAUUUUGAUAGUCCCUAAAAUUGAAUUUUGAUAACUAUGUUUCAAUAUAAUUUCCUUUUGAAUCCUAUAUAUAUUUUGUUGCAUAUAUAUGCAUAUAUAUAUGUGUAUAUACAUAUGUAUACACACACACACAUUAUAAACACCAUUUUAAUGUAAGAUCUUUAACAGGUCUCAGUUGAGACCUAGGUAAGAAAGAAAUGAGUAAAAGAAUGGCCUUUUUCAAAGAAUUGGAAAUUGAGAGGGUGCUCAUCCGUUAAGGAAUAGCUGAACAAAUAAAUGAAUAUAAUGAAAUACUGUUGUGCUAUAAGAAAUGGUGAGCAGGCAUAUUUCAGAAAAAUCUGGAAAGACUUACAUGAAUGAAGUGAGCACAACCAGGAAUAACAGCAACAAUCUGAUGAUCAACUCUGACUUAGUUUUUCUCAGCAAUACAAUAAUCUAUGACAAUUCAAAAAGACUCAUCAUGGAAAAUGCUAUCCACAUCUAGAGAAAGAACUAUGGAAUCUGAAUGCAGAUCGAAGCAUUGUAUUACCUUUUUUGUUUUUCUCAUGGUUUUUC